rnacentral:rRNA from 1 species
CUGUCGGCGUGCCUAAUACAUGCAAGUCGAGCGAGCGGAACUAACAGAUUUACUUCGGUAAUGACGUUAGGAAAGCGAGCGGCGGAUGGGUGAGUAACACGUGAGGAACCUGCCCCAUAGUCUGGGAUACCACUUGGAAACAGGUGCUAAUACCGGAUAAGAAAGCAGAUCGCAUGAUCAGCUUUUAAAAGGCGGCGUAAGCUGUCGCUAUGGGAUGGCCCCGCGGUGCAUUAGCUAGUUGGUAAGGUAAAGGCUUACCAAGGCGAUGAUGCAUAGCCGAGUUGAGAGACUGAUCGGCCACAUUGGGACUGAGACACGGCCCAAACUCCUACGGGAGGCAGCAGUAGGGAAUCUUCCACAAUGGACGCAAGUCUGAUGGAGCAACGCCGCGUGAGUGAAGAAGGUUUUCGGAUCGUAAAGCUCUGUUGUUGGUGAAGAAGGAUAGAGGUAGUAACUGGCCUUUAUUUGACGGUAAUCAACCAGAAAGUCACGGCUAACUACGUGCCAGCAGCCGCGGUAAUACGUAGGUGGCAAGCGUUGUCCGCAUUUAUUGGGCGUAAAGCGAGCGCAGGCGGAAGAAUAAGUCUGAUGUGAAAGCCCUCGGCUUAACCGAGGAACUGCAUCGGAAACUGUUUUUCUUGAGUGCAGAAGAGGAGAGUGGAACUCCAUGUGUAGCGGUGGAAUGCGUAGAUAUAUGGAAGAACACCAGUGGCGAAGGCGGCUCUCUGGUCUGCAACUGACGCUGAGGCUCGAAAGCAUGGGUAGCGAACAGGAUUAGAUACCCUGGUAGUCCAUGCCGUAAACGAUGAGUGCUAAGUGUUGGGAGGUUUCCGCCUCUCAGUGCUGCAGCUAACGCAUUAAGCACUCCGCCUGGGGAGUACGACCGCAAGGUUGAAACUCAAAGGAAUUGACGAGGGCCCGCACAAGCGGUGGAGCAUGUGGUUUAAUUCGAAGCAACGCGAAGAACCUUACCAGGUCUUGACAUCUAGUGUCAUUUGUAGAGAUACAAAGUUCCCUUCGGGGACGCUAAGACAGGUGGUGCAUGGCUGUCGUCAGCUCGUGUCGUGAGAUGUUGGGUUAAGUCCCGCAACGAGCGCAACCCUUGUUAUUAGUUGCCAGCAUUAAGUUGGGCACUCUAAUGAGACUGCCGGUGACAAACCGGAGGAAGGUGGGGAUGACGUCAAGUCAUCAUGCCCCUUAUGACCUGGGCUACACACGUGCUACAAUGGGCAGUACAACGAGAAGCGAGCCUGCGAAGGCAAGCGAAUCUCUGAAAGCUGUUCUCAGUUCGGACUGCAGUCUGCAACUCGACUGCACGAAGCUGGAAUCGCUAGUAAUCGCGGAUCAGCACGCCGCGGUGAAUACGUUCCCGGGCCUUGUACACACCGCCCGUCACACCAUGGGAGUCUGCAAUGCCCAAAGCCGCUGGCCUAACCUUCGGGAAGGAGCCGUCUAAGGCAGGGCAGAUGACUGGGGU